AGAGUUUGAUCCUGGCUCAGGAUGAACGCUAGCUACAGGCUUAACACAUGCAAGUCGAGGGGCAUCAGGAAGAAAGCUUGCUUUCUUUGCUGGCGACCGGCGCACGGGUGAGUAACACGUAUCCAACCUGCCCUUUACUCGGGGAUAGCCUUUCGAAAGAAAGAUUAAUACCCGAUGGCAUAAUGAUUCCGCAUGGUUUCAUUAUUAAAGGAUUCCGGUAAAGGAUGGGGAUGCGUUCCAUUAGGUUGUUGGUGAGGUAACGGCUCACCAAGCCUUCGAUGGAUAGGGGUUCUGAGAGGAAGGUCCCCCACAUUGGAACUGAGACACGGUCCAAACUCCUACGGGAGGCAGCAGUGAGGAAUAUUGGUCAAUGGGCGGUAGCCUGAACCAGCCAAGUAGCGUGAAGGAUGAAGGCUCUAUGGGUCGUAAACUUCUUUUAUAUAAGAAUAAAGUGCAGUAUGUAUACUGUUUUGUAUGUAUUAUAUGAAUAAGGAUCGGCUAACUCCGUGCCAGCAGCCGCGGUAAUACGGAGGAUCCGAGCGUUAUCCGGAUUUAUUGGGUUUAAAGGGAGCGUAGGUGGACUGGUAAGUCAGUUGUGAAAGUUUGCGGCUCAACCGUAAAAUUGCAGUUGAUACUGUCAGUCUUGAGUACAGUAGAGGUGGGCGGAAUUCGUGGUGUAGCGGUGAAAUGCUUAGAUAUCACGAAGAACUCCGAUUGCGAAGGCAGCUCACUGGACUGCAACUGACACUGAUGCUCGAAAGUGUGGGUAUCAAACAGGAUUAGAUACCCUGGUAGUCCACACAGUAAACGAUGAAUACUCGCUGUUUGCGAUAUACAGUAAGCGGCCAAGCGAAAGCAUUAAGUAUUCCACCUGGGGAGUACGCCGGCAACGGUGAAACUCAAAGGAAUUGACGGGGGCCCGCACAAGCGGAGGAACAUGUGGUUUAAUUCGAUGAUACGCGAGGAACCUUACCCGGGCUUAAAUUGCAGUGGAAUGAUGUGGAAACAUGUCAGUGAGCAAUCACCGCUGUGAAGGUGCUGCAUGGUUGUCGUCAGCUCGUGCCGUGAGGUGUCGGCUUAAGUGCCAUAACGAGCGCAACCCUUAUCUUCAGUUACUAACAGGUCAUGCUGAGGACUCUGGAGAGACUGCCGUCGUAAGAUGUGAGGAAGGUGGGGAUGACGUCAAAUCAGCACGGCCCUUACGUCCGGGGCUACACACGUGUUACAAUGGGGGGUACAGAAGGCAGCUAGCGGGUGACCGUAUGCUAAUCCCAAAAUCCUCUCUCAGUUCGGAUCGAAGUCUGCAACCCGACUUCGUGAAGCUGGAUUCGCUAGUAAUCGCGCAUCAGCCACGGCGCGGUGAAUACGUUCCCGGGCCUUGUACACACCGCCCGUCAAGCCAUGGGAGCCGGGGGUACCUGAAGUACGUAACCGCAAGGAUCGUCCUAGGGUAAAACUGGUGACUGGGGCUAAGUCGUAACAAGGUAGCCGUACCGGAAGGUGCGGCUG
rnacentral:rRNA from 1 species